AGACCAUUAGCUCAACGGGCAGAGCACCUGACUCUUAAUCAGGCGGUUCGGGGUUCGAGCCCCCGAUGGUCUACCA
rnacentral:tRNA from 1 species